rnacentral:rRNA from 1 species
AGUGGCUCAUUUCGUACCAGAGAAACCUAUGUAUGAACAAGGAUUGAUU